CCGAGUUUACAACUCCCAAACCCAAUGUGAACCAUACCAGACUGUUGCCUCGGCGGGGUCACGCCCCGGGUGCGUCGCAGCCCCGGAACCAGGCGCCCGCCGGAGGGACCAACCGAACUCUUUCUGUAGUCCCCUCGCGGACGUUAUUUCUUACAGCUCUGAGCAAAAAUUCAAAAUGAAUCA
rnacentral:misc_RNA from 1 species